rnacentral:lncRNA from 1 species
UUGGGUCUUUUUUCAUAUUUAGUGAAAUUUGGUCACAGAUUUGACUCUUGUAACUUCUUUCUUCUUGUUUACACGUUCUUCUUAAUUUAGAUUUGAAUAAGUAAAAUGAUUUUCUAUAGGAUCCAUUGUCUGGAAACUUAUUUACAAGUAAACAAUAUUUUUUAACUGUAGUAUGGAGGUCAUGACAAGAGUCUGAGAACCAUGUUUUU